rnacentral:lncRNA from 1 species
AGCUGCGAAGAUGGCGGAGUAAGGCGUGCCGCUGCAAACUGGCCUCUGGGCCGGGGGCGAGCAGCCCCCGGGAGGCCGAGUGCAUCUGUUGGACCGUGCGAGGAGAAGAAAAAAAAUAUCGGCCAGAGGAGAGGAACUAACCGAACAUUCUUCCUCCCUACCUUAUAGAGGGGAGUGGUCAUCUACACUAAAGCAAAGUGUUAGGCGCGUCCGUGCGAAGAGACCACCAAACAGGCUUUGUGUUCCUUAUCACAGGAAGAAAAUUUUCCUUGACCUUUAGGUGCUUUUAUAUUCAUCUCAAAAACAAAAUUCUGAACUCAGGACUUGGCAAAAACCCAGACCAGAUGGAGUUUCACUCUGUCGCCCAGGCUGGAGUGCAGUGGCACGAUCUCGGCUGACUGCAGCCUCUACCUGCUGGGUUCAAGCAAUUCUUCUGCCUCAGGUUCCUGAGUAGCUGGGAUUACAGGAUGCUAUCAUCAAUAGAUGUAAUGACUGUAAUUGCAGCAGCCAUCCCGAAUCCAAGAGGAAAAGGCCAAAGUUUCUACUUAAUCAAAAAGAAUGUCCUGACCUUUUAUCCAACUCAUUUUAAAGAUUAAGAAAUUAACCAAAAUCCCAUAAUGCUUUUCAAAUUUAUGUUAAAAAUAUGUUACUAAAAGCUUACUGCCCUAACAAAAAUGCAAUUAUUGCUUCUCUAGAA